GAUGUACAGGACCAUGAAUGGAGGCAAGCCAUAACUGCUGCUGGAUCUGGAUGUAUUGCUGCUUUAUCAGUUGAGAGAUAUCUUGUUAGCAAUGAUCUACAUGUGGAGUUCCGUCAGAGGUUAAGAAGGAACCAACUGACAGAGACGUUCAAGAGGGCUUUGACAUUACACUUACAAAGCAUAAGGGCCAAUACGCUCUGCGAAAGUUGUACCAUGAAAGUUCACGGCUCAUAUGUGUACUAUAUACAGCACCAACUUGUGGUCCAUGUAGAACUUUGAAGCCAAUUCUUAGCAAGGUGAU
rnacentral:misc_RNA from 1 species